rfam:Clostridiales bacterium 41_12_two_minus Ley3_66761_scaffold_2327, whole genome shotgun sequence.
UAUGCCGGGGAUUUAGUGGCUCUUGACUCUCUGAUCAUUCACAGAAAUUUGCAGGCACGGAUGCCUGCAAAAGAUGCAGUUGAGCCAGGAUGGCGAAUCUGCAUCGGUUUCGUCCACUUGCCAACAUCCUCUCCAGAGAGAUUAGAGCCACUUAAUCCCCGACACU